rnacentral:rRNA from 1 species
GAUGAACGCUGGCGGCGUGCCUAAUACAUGCAAGUCGAGCGAACGGACGAGAAGCUUGCUUCUCUUAUGUUAGCGGCGGACGGGUGAGUAACACUUGGAUAACCUACCUAUAAGACUGGGAUAACUUCGGGAAACCGGAUCUAAUACCGGAUGAUAUUUUGAACCGCAUGGUUCUAAAGUGAAAGACGUUCUUGCUGUCACUUAUAGAUGGAUCCGCGCUGCAUUAGCUAGUUGGUAAGGUAACGGCUUACCAAGGCAACGAUGCAUAGCCGACCUGAGAGGGUGAUCGGCCACACUGGAACUGAGACACGGUCCAGACUCCUACGGGAGGCAGCAGUAGGGAAUAUUCCGCAAUGGGCGAAAGCCUGACGGAGCAACGCAGCGUGAGUGAUGAAGGUCUUCGGAUCGUAAAACACUGUUAUUAGGGAAGAACAUAUGUGUAAGUAACUGUGCACAUCUUGACGGUACCUAAUCAGAAAGCCACGGCUAACUACGUG